rnacentral:rRNA from 1 species
UACGGGAGUGGCAAGCGUUAUCCGGAAUUAUUGGGCGUAAAGCGUCCGCAGGCGGUCUUGUAAGUCUGUUGUUAAAGCGUGGAGCUUAACUCCAUUUCAGCAAUGGAAACUGUAAGACUAGAGUGUGGUAGGGGCAGAGGGAAUUCCCGGUGUAGCGGUGAAAUGCGUAGAUAUCGGGAAGAACACCAGUGGCGAAGGCGCUCUGCUGGGCCAUAACUGACGCUCAUGGACGAAAGCCAGGGGAGCGAAAGGGAUUAGAUACCCCUGUAGUCCUGGCCGUAAACGAUGAACACUAGGUGUCGGGGGAAUCGACCCCCUCGGUGUCGUAGCCAACGCGUUAAGUGUUCCGCCUGGGGAGUACGCACGCAAGUGUGAAACUCAAAGGAAUUGACGGGGGCCCGCACAAGCGGUGGAGUAUGUGGUUUAAUUCGAUGCAACGCGGAGAACCUUACCAGGGUUUGACAUCCUGCGAAUCUUUUGGAAACAGAAGAGUGCCUUCGGGAACGCAGUGACAGGUGGUGCAUGGCUGUCGUCAGCUCGUGUCGUGAGAUGUUGGGUUAAGUCCCGCAACGAGCGCAACCCACGUCGUUAGUUGCCAGCAUUUAGUUGGGCACUCUAGCGAGACCGCCGGUGAUAAACCGGAGGAAGGUGUGGAUGACGUCAAGUCAUCAUGCCCCUUACAUCCUGGGCUACACACGUACUACAAUGCUACGGACAAAGGGCAGCAAACUCGCGAGAGCUAGCAAAUCCCAUAAACCGUGGCUCAGUUCAGAUCGUAGGCUGCAACUCGCCUACGUGAAGGAGGAAUCGCUAGUAAUCGCAGGUCAGCAUACUGCGGUGAAUACGUUCCCGGGCCU